UGACCUAAUAUUGAAUGUGGUGAAUUACAGGCUGGAGACCGCAAUGUUUGUGAUGCCAUGACAGAGGAUGGAUUGAUCUACAGGUUGUGGCUUUUCCUCAUCUGUGUUGGAGUGUGUUCACCUCCUGAGCCACCUCAGGAAUUAUUCAUUCCUGAAUUUACCUUUGCAUAACUGGGAAGAACUUUCUACACAGACAAGGUCAGCUUCCAGACUUCCAUUGGACAACACAGGAUAGGAAGGAGGUGAGCAACAGAAGAACAGGAAGGCACUGAGGCAUAGUCAGAGCCAAUGUCAAAUGGACACUCCUUCUGAUGACAGUUCUCAGAAAAUCAAAUGAAUCAUCCAUUUGGGAAGGGAGUUCACUACCUGCCUGAUACUGAAUGGAUCAGCUGAGCCCUGCUCUUCCCUACCCAUAGGAAGGCGAGCUCACAGGCAAAUUGAAGGACACAUGAGCUCCCUUGGCUAUACCUCAGUAUUAGCAAUGCACGGACUUAUGAUGCUGAUGAGACCUCAGGUGUUGAUAUGGAGGAAUUUGUUAUGGGAAGAUAAGCUGCACAUGCCAUUCGCUGUUGGAAAAUGUAAAGUAAUGAGCAUGGCAGCUGAGGCAGCAGCAAUGGGAUUCUGCGCGAUGAGGUCCGGGAUGAGGUCACACUGCUGCGAAGGGAAAGAAAAGACAGCAGUCAGCUGGAGCGCUGGCCCUGCACAGAGUUUAUGAUAUUGUUUGCCAGACUGGGACUGGAGGGUCAUUUCUCCCCAGGAUAAAGUUGCAUUGUUUCUCCACUGCAGUUAGCUGGAUUUAAAAAACACAUUUGUAUAAACAACCCCCUCCUAUUUGUAUAAAGAACCCACUCCGUCCCUUAAAGUUGCUGACUACAGGAAGGGGGAAAGUAAAAUAAAUGGAUCAGUUAUUUAUUACAAUAAUGCAGGUCCCCACCCUCUAUGUUUUUCUCAGGACUGGAAGCUAUGCUGAAAUCCCACCCCCUGUACAAAAUAGAUUUAAUAGGGAUUUUCAAGGAACAUGAGCCAAUAUGGGCUGCACUGGUUAAGUAAUAUUUUAAGUAGCUAUCGAUUAAGUAGCUAUAGCAGCAUUUUAUUGGAGCCAUUUCUCAGCUGAGAAAGAGAGGAAUUUAUUUCAGUUCUGUUUCAAGCAAUAGACAUCCCAUCCCAUCCCAUCCACCGAGAAACUUCCAAACAACACUUUAUCUCCAAGUACUUUUCCCAUUAAUCUCUCCCAUACCCCAGAAGGCUGGUGAGCCAACGCUAUAGGUGGAGAAACUGAGUCAUGGACAUUGUGUGACUUGUCUAAUGGGACUGCAUGGGAAUCAGUUAGAACCCAGGAACAUGUGACCUCCAGGCCUUUGUGUUAGAAUAGAACACGAUUUGUAUUCUUCUACUUUCCUGAGGUAAGGAGUAGAGGAAAUAUGGAAACCAAUAAUAGUACAUCUCCAUGCAGGGGUGGAUAUAGG